rnacentral:rRNA from 1 species
CGGCGGACGGGUGAGUAACGCGUGGGUAACCUGCCUCAUACAGGGGGAUAACAGUUGGAAACGGCUGCUAAUACCGCAUAAGCGCACAGUACCGCAUGGUACCGUGUGAAAAACUCCGGUGGUAUGAGAUGGACCCGCGUCUGAUUAGGUAGUUGGUGGGGUAACGGCCUACCAAGCCGACGAUCAGUAGCCGACCUGAGAGGGUGACCGGCCACAUUGGGACUGAGACACGGCCCAA